UUCAGGUUAUGCAGGUCGUUGAGAGCAAUAUUAUCAUGAGGGAAGGCAGGAAAGAGGAAGGAUGUAUACCCGUCUUAUAGUCUGUAUGUACUCGUGGCCAAAUGGUGUUCGAGAGAUGGCGAAUAAGGAUUUGCUAGCAGCAUUGACGAACGAUAAUAUACUGCCGCAUGUAUAUGUAAAAGUGUUUUAUACACUGAAGCACUUCUAGUCAUAUUCGAAAAGGCUACCAACAUGCCAUAUGAAGUGGCUGAGAAAUUACCAUUUGGUUCCAUACAGAGGAAGUUCAUCUCAUCUUUAACGACUCGGACAGAGCAAAGAACAGAAAGGUUCUCUACACAUAAAAAGUAUAGAAAUAAUGAAGUUCACACUACAGUUGACAAUCUGGAUGUGUUUCCUUUGUUAUUUGAACAUGAUUUGUUAUAGCUUACACUACAAGUAUGGACUACAAUAUGAUAAAUCCAGACAUAGCAGACUUGUGUCUUUACAAAUUUAAAUUGUUCUCAGCUAAAGAGUGAAUGUAUUUCUUCUAAUCACUUAUGUGGGCAAGUUCGUUAAUUUUUGUUAUAUUCAUAGUCAAUCACAAACAGAUUUGUGAUUGAAAUAGUUGCCUUAUUUAAUGCUAUCCACAUAUUCAUACUCGUUAGGUAAAUAAGCCAUUUAUGCCUUAUAUGCCAGAGCCUUCAAUUAACUUGGGUGUAUUCUAUUUGUUUCAUCCACACAUUUGUCUUGUGACCAUUUUUGGAGGUUAAGUUGCGAGUCAAAAGCCUUUUUCACAACAUUAACUUAUUUGGGGAAAGUAUGUAUUUAUGACACUAUCUGUUCCUUCAUUCUGUUCAUUUUUUUGUAUGAACCAAGAUCAAAUGUGUCAUUUUAGUUUAAUCAUUUUAAACUGUAUUUAUUAUACUCUUCAUUGAAUAUUUGUAUAUUAUCAAACUUUUUUCAACAAAUUUAAACGUGUUGUUAUUUUGAUUAUAUUGUAUCAGUGUCAUAGGGUAUAUGUCCAUUCCCGGCCUUCAAGUUGAAACCAGAUAUAUUCUUUGUUGUAAAAUGUGUUCUUUAUGUUCAGAUCAUCUCUUAGAAACUAUUCUGAUUUCCUAACAAGGCUCAGGCUCAUGAGUUUUGUCUUCUAUUCUUGUCUCAUUUAAUUAAUUAUUUGUCCUAGUACUUCCACUGCGCAUCAGUGCUUACAAGUGUUAUGUGAUCUUAGUGAUAUGUUUGGGGGUUAGAUAUUCUUAGAAACAAAAGAUGGCCGUUCACUAGCUUUAUUCAUGAUAGUAUAUAUUCCGGAAGUACCGGUAUAAUAUUACACGCAUAAACAUAUAGAGUGGCUAU